UACGUAGGGUGCAAGCGUUAAUCGGAAUUACUGGGCGUAAAGCGUGCGCAGGCGGCUUUGCAAGACAGAUGUGAAAUCCCUGGGCUCAACCUGGGAACUGCAUUUGAUACUGGAAAGCUAGAGUGUGGUAGAGGAUGGUGGAAUUCCCGGUGUAGCGGUGAAAUGCGUAGAUAUCGGGAGGAACAUCAGUGGCGAAGGCGGCCAUCUGGACCAACACUGACACUGAGGCACAAAAGCGUGGGGAGCAAACAGG
rnacentral:rRNA from 1 species